rnacentral:rRNA from 1 species
GCUAAACGCGAAGAACCUUACCAGCCCUUGACAUCCCGAUCGCGGAUUACGGAGACGUUUUCCUUCAGUUCGGCUGGAUCGGAGACAGGUGCUGCAUGGCUGUCGUCAGCUCGUGUCGUGAGAUGUUGGGUUAAGUCCCGCAACGAGCGCAACCCUCGCCCUUAGUUGCCAGCAUUCAGUUGGGCACUCUAAGGGGACUGCCGGUGAUAAGCCGAGAGGAAGGUGGGGAUGACGUCAAGUCCUCAUGGCCCUUACGACCUGGGCUACACACGUGCUACAAUGGAACGCACAGAGGGCAGCAAAGGCGCGAGCUGGAGCGAAUCCCACAAAACGUUUCGUAGUCCGGAUCGGAGUCUGCAACUCGACUCCGUGAAGUCGGAAUCGCUAGUAAUCGCGGAUCAGAAUGCCGCGGUGAAUACGUUCCCGGGUCUUGUACACACCG